rnacentral:rRNA from 1 species
GAUGAACGCUAGCUACAGGCUUAACACAUGCAAGUCGAGGGACCGGCGCACGGGUGAGUAACACGUAUCCAACCUGCCCUUUACUCGGGGAUAGCCUUUCGAAAGAAAGAUUAAUACCCGAUAUAAAGGAUGGGGAUGCGUUCCAUUAGGUUGUUGGUGAGGUAACGGCCCACCAAGCCUUCGAUGGAUAGGGGUUCUGAGAGGAAGGCCCCCAACAUGGAACCUGGGACACGGUCCAAACCCGUACGGGAGGAAGCAUUGAGGAAAAUUGGUAAUGGGGCGUUAGCCGGAACCAGCCAAGUACCGUGAGGGAUGAAGGCUUUUGGGUCGUAACUUCUUUUAUAUAAGAAUAUGUAUUAUAUGAAUAAGGAUCGGCUAACUCCGUGCCAGCAGCCGCGGUAAUAC